AGUGAACGCUGGCGGUAGGCCUAACACAUGCAAGUCGAACGGCAGCACAGUAAGAGCUUGCUCUUACGGGUGGCGAGUGGCGGACGGGUGAGGAAUACAUCGGAAUCUACUUUUUCGUGGGGGAUAACGUAGGGAAACUUACGCUAAUACCGCAUACGACCUACGGGUGAAAGCAGGGGAUCUUCGGACCUUGCGCGAUUGAAUGAGCCGAUGUCGGAUUAGCUAGUUGGCGGGGUAAAGGCCCACCAAGGCGACGAUCCGUAGCUGGUCUGAGAGGAGGAUCAGCCACACUGGAACUGAGACACGGUCCAGACUCCUACGGGAGGGCGCAGGGGGGAAUAUUGGACAAUGGGCGCAAGCCUGAUCCAGCCAUACCGCGUGGGUGAAGAAGGCCUUCGGGUUGUAAAGCCCCUUUGUUGGGAAAGAAAAGCAGCAGGUUAAUACCACGCUGUUCUGACGGUACCCAAAGAAUAAGCACCGGCUAACUUCGUG
rnacentral:rRNA from 1 species